UAGGGAAUCUUCCGCAAUGGGCGAAAGCCUGACGGAGCAACGCCGCGUGAGUGAUGAAGGUCUUCGGAUCGUAAAACUCUGUUAUUAGGGAAGAACAAAUGUGUAAGUAACUAUGCACGUCUUGACGGUACCUAAUCAGAAAGCCACGGCUAACUACGUGCCAGCAGCCGCGGUAAUACGUAGGUGGCAAGCGUUAUCCGGAAUUAUUGGGCGUAAAGCGCGCGUAGGCGGUUUUUUAAGUCUGAUGUGAAAGCCCACGGCUCAACUGUGGAGGGUAAUUGGAAACUGGAAAACUAGAGUGCAGAAGAGGAAAGUGGAAUUCCAUGUGUAGCGGUGAAAUGCGCAGAGAUAUGGAGAAAAACAAGUGGCGAAGGCGACUUUAUGGCCUGUAACUGACGCUAAUGUGCGAAAGCGUGGGGAUCAAACAGG
rnacentral:rRNA from 1 species